rnacentral:rRNA from 1 species
AUGAUUGUUGUUAAGAAACUUGUAGAAGAUCCUCCAGUGCCGCUUGCUGAAGCAUUUUCUAAUGAAGUUCAAAAUAUCAUGGCUCUCCAACACAAAAAUAUUGUAAAGUUAGUCGGUUUUUGUCAUGAAGGUCAAAAGAAAGUAGUGCAGAAAGACGGAAGGUAUAUUUUUGCAGAGGUUUUUGAAUCUUUACUCUGCUACGAAUACUUACCUAUGGGAAGUCUUCACAAUAAUCUUUUUGAAUCCAAUGGCAUGGACUGGAACACACGGUUCAAAAUAAUGAAGGGAAUCUGCCAAGGCUUACUUUUUCUACAUAAAACUCUUAUUAUCCAUAUAGAUCUGAAGCCUCAAAACAUACUUUUGGGUGAUGAUAUGGAACCAAAAAUUGCGGGGUUUGGUACCUCGAGACCUUUCUAUGAAGAUACAACAUGGUUAAAUACCCACGAUGUCGCGGGGACCUAUGGAUACAUGGCUCCAGAAUAUCUACACAAAGGAGAAUUCUCCGCCCAAUCAGACAUAUAUGCUUUAGGUGUACUAAUCUUGGAGACCACUACAGGAAAGAAGAAUGGCAAGAAAGACCCAUCUGGAAGAGAAUACAUAUAUGAAGUGCAACUUAAUUGGAUGAUUGAUUAUAUAGCGUCCAAGCACUGUACGCUUGAUGUAGAUUCCUUGUGGCAGAUAAGAGCAUGCAUUCUUAUUGGACUAAAAUGUGUGCAUGCUGAUAGGAAGAUGAGACCUUCCAUACAAGGCAUUGUUGACAUGCUUGAUGGACGGUUGGCAUGGUCCAGUAGGCGUCUGAUCGUGCCAGAACCUUUGGCAUGGUCCAGUAGGCGUCUGAUCAUGCAACCUCCAGAGCUCCGCUUCUCUUUUGAGCCAAAAAGGUUGAUCUCCUGCUCGUUUUCUCUAACGAACACAACAGAUGGUCAUAUCGCCUUCAUGCUUGUAACGGAAAAUCCGAGGAUAUACCUUACAAAGCUACCACUUUGCGGUGUUGUGCCGCCAAAUCACAUCUACACCAUAAAUGUGACCAUGCGCGAGCAUAAGGAAUCAAGAAAUGGCGAGUUUCUGACCCUCCGGAGCGGUACGGCGCGUGAGGAGCAACUCACGAAUGCCCACCCAGAUUCCUUAGCCGGUGAUGAGGUGAAAGAGGUGAAGCUGUGUGUUGUUUGUGACCCACAAGAGGGUACAACCUCAAAUCAGUCGAUCCAAUCAGCAGCAGAGGUCAUAGCCAGUCAGAACUAUCGGCUGGUGCUGUCCGUAGACGUGCACCCAAAUAAACCAUGGAUCUUGACGAGCAAUCGGAGGGGUUGUGUUUGCAUUUGGAACUACCAGACCAAGACAGAGGAAAAUUCCUUUGAAGUCAGCGCAGAGGAACCAGUAUAUUCGGCAACGUUCAUUGAAUGA